AUGUGCACACACACAAAGACAUGCAUGUGCACACACACAAAGACAUGCGUGGACACACGCACACACACAUGCUGUUCUCUCCCCCACAUCCCAAACCUGGCUUUCUCUCUCCCUAAAACAGGGACAGAUGUACAAGCAUGCAGCUACGAACACACUUUCCACCUGUCCAUUUCGGUGUGCAUGUGUGUGACCCAUCUGUUUCCAAGUGUCUCUGUUUUUGGCCAUGCUGCGGUCACACGUCUCCCUUUCCAGCUGGACUAAACAAACACCUCGUUGGUCCGUUAGGUGCGUGUGAAACGUAUGUGUGUUUAUGUGCAUGUAUACAUGUCUGUGUUUUGCUAUGCUGAAAGCUCUAGCCCAGGGGCUUUUCUGUUUGGCUCAAACAAUGCUGUCACUGGAAUAAAAGGGGCUCUAGACAGUGGAGCUGAGAGCCGUCAUGGAGGCUGUUUCUCUUCCCUUAUCUGAUCGGCCAUUGAUCAACAGAAACAGAGCAUGCAUGGAAGAUCCUCUUCCUGUCGGCUUGUGCCGUCAGUGUUUGGGACUUCGUGAGCUUUUGAACUUUUAUUGGGUGCGAGUGUUCCUGCGUGUUUUUUUUUACUCUGCAGUUUUAGGAAUGUGUGUGGUUUGUCUCGCAGCACAGGUGUGAUUUAAGCGUGGUUUGACUUUCUUGUGAGGCGUGAGGAAAUAAGAAGGCCGUUGAAAGUCGGAGAGAGGCUGAGGUAACAGCACAGACUCCCACAGCGCUGGAGGCUCUCUGGGUUCAUGGGGUCUAAUCGGUCAGGCCCCGAGUCCCAGCCCAGCUACGUGACAUCAGUACUGCUAGCUGUGCUGGUGUCAGUGGGUGCUCAGUGUGGAGUAGGUCAGUAGACAGCAGGCGUGGGUCUGGCCGUGCCCCCCUUUCUGCAGGGCCUGGCCCCGCAUUGGCACGACAACGCUGUCUGGUCGGCCCGACACGCUUCAGUAGCGACGAUGACGGUGACGGGUCGCUUAGCAGCUGUCAGAACGGCUGCGUGUCUCCCGAGGACCCGCACCGCUCUCCGCUGACGUGGCGGUUCUUUCGCUGCUCUGGGUGUGACGGGAAAAAUGACCAGUGAGUCUGUAGUGAAGGGGGGGGGGGGCAGAGCCUGAUUUGGGGAUGAGCGAGUGGUGAUGGAGGGCUUGCGUGGUGUAAACUCCCCACCCCCCCCACCCCUCCUUCCCCUUCUCUGCACGCUGUGGCGUGGGUGUUUAUACAGACAAAAUCCCCGUUGUGGUGCGUUCCGCAAAGCUCGGUCCCUGGGAAAGUUUGUGGAGGGGGCAUUGAGGUCCAGUGUGGUGGAAAGACCAUUGUCUGGCCCACUGAUCCACCACUGUAGUGGGUAGACCGGGGGAUCAAGCCCCGGGGAGGAGGUCACGGGUGGAGUCGUUGGGUGGAGUCCAGUGUGGGUGGGUGAUGGCGGGAGUGGGAGGGGCGGUGGUAUGUCUGUUACUUGUACUGGGGUGAAUGGGGGCUAGGGAGGAAGCAUGUCCACAGUGGUCUGGUUCUGUGUAAGGCAGACAGACACACACACACAGUGGACCCCGAAACCCACACAAUUGCCCUCAGGUCUAUUUCAACUUCUUCUGAUUGUCCAGCUGUUUAUAGUUGUUUAUUCUGAGUGAUCUGGACACUGACCCUCCUCUGAGAGACCUAUGACUAAUAAAGGGACCUGCUGAUUGAAAGCUGGUAUCGUUGCCAGUUUUUUUUUGUGGCAGCCUAUUGAGUUUUCACUAGCUGAUACCCAACAGAACUUUUCUCAGCAUUCCUUUCCUCUUUGGAAAGAUAAUACGAUUGGCCCUUGCAGACUGCAGAGUCCUGAGGGCUGACAAACAGGAUGGGAAUUUAGAAGGGGGGCGGAGGUCCGGGGGGGGGAAGGGGCUGGAGGGGGGACCGGACAUUGGGAACGUUUGGUUUAGGAGACGUUGGAACACUGAGUGACAGGGAUGGUUCGUCUGGUAGCUUGGUCCAAGGCAUGAUGGGAGUUGGGCCUGGGUCAGUGCCUCAUGCUGAGGACUUGCUGGUUGUGGAUGGAGGGAAAGCGAUGAAAGAGGAGAGAGAUUUUGCAGGUUGUGCUGCUGGAUGGGGGAGGGGGUCAGCUGACCUUCAAUGCUCUUGCUGUUGUUGUCCGCAAGAUGACAGGAGGAAGGCGUGUCCACUUCCUCUCUGCCCGUCCCUCUCCUUCCCGUUUCCUGUGAGGGGGAAGAGGCAGAGGGGGAAUUCCGUAUGCUGAGGAAUGGAGUGACGUGAAUUCAGAAGUGGUGUGUGUGUGUGUGGGUUCUCCAUGUAGCCAGGGUACUGUGUGUACUGUUAUUAUCAUUCUGGUGUUUUUCAGCCAAGGCCAUAAAUAAGUCUGUUUUCAGGAUGCUGUUAGAGAGAUGAAAGAGGUGUCCCAGGCUUUCACAACCUUCAGGAUCUCCGUCUCCACUUAUAACUCUUCCUAACACAACCAACUGUGUGCAUGUGCAAACGCAUGUCUCUGUAGUUGAGAUUUAAAGGCAUCUGUUUCGUGUGCAAUACAUCCUUUGUGUACAAGGUUGACAACGGGGUUGAACUCUGUCACAGAUUAAGUGACAGAGAAAAUGUGUGUGUUUUGUGUCUCUGUGUGUUUCUGUCUGUCUGCGUAUGUGUAACUGUGCACUCUCUGCUAAAAUACUUGCCUUAUUCAGUCACAAUUUAUUUUUUUUUAAUAAAAAUUCAUCCAUUAAUGAUUCCUUCUGGUUUGACUUGCAGUUGGGGAGAGGAGAGAACAUACGAUGGAACAACAAAGAAGUAUUGGAUUGCUGCCAACUCCUGGGGCAAGAACUGGGGCGAGCGAGGCCUGUUCCGUAUCGCCCGCGGGGAGAACGAGUGUGAGAUUGAGACGUUCGUGAUCGGGGUGUGGGGCCGUGUCACUUUGGAGGACAUGCAAAGUCACCAUCAUCAUGGUCGACGCAAGUAGAGAUUCCCACCAGAUGCGAGAGAUACCUGCUCCAACCCCCACCCUGGGGCCACCACCCAACAACCCCCAGUCCAUCUCUCAUCUCUCCCCCCUUAACCUUCACAGUGUCCUGAAGGGGGGAAGGCCCAAACAAAUCCUUCCCUUGGGGAAGAAGUAUCCCCAAUUUUCUGGCCAUUUCGAGGUUCAUGGCUCAAAAUAGCUUUGUCAGGCCCCCCAAAAAAGGCUUUCAGCCACACAGUGUCAAGACACUGCAAUAAGCAGGACUCAGGACUAAUUUCUCCAAAGACCACAGUUCCCACAAUCCUCCCCCCACAGUGUGUCAUUGCUUUCAUCCUGCUCUAAAGGCUGGAGAGUCAGUUCUCCUCACGUCACCUCACUUUUGACAUAACUAGAUUUAUCUAAAAAUAACACUCACUCUGCCCUCACGUUCAUGACAAAGUGUAUUCUUACACUCUUACAUUACAUUACAUUAUUCUUCACCCUGGUCGAUGGGGGUCUUAUCCUGGUAGGUUCAGAGUGCACACACAUUCCAAGAUAUAGGAGUAUGUUAUGAUGGGAAAGGGGUUAUUAUGGGUAAGGUCAACUGUCCCUUUAGAUCACUGGAUGUCCUUCUCUGUUUCAAUAGCAAUAACAACAUAGAGUUGAUGUCAAUUCCACUGUGAGGUCAGGCAGAGAAUGACACUCAAUGUUUUUCUGCUGUACUGUACCACCUAGGUAAUUAUCGUUCAAAUAAUAAUAUGCAAUGAUCACAUCCCUUAAAACUAUACACCAAAACUCAACAACCAGAACACAUUUAUUUGUUUUUAAAAUAUGAUGUAGAUUAUCAUUUGGUCAAACAUAUAUACAUUUUCCCAUAAUAUAUACGUGUAAAAUACUUUCAUCUGCUGUUAUAUUUUUUGUUGUUUGACAAAACACCACUCAGACAGGUAUCAAAUUCCUUAUAAUAAAUAAUAAUGGUUUACUGUCUUGGGCUUCUAGAUAGCUUGUUUAUGAUAGUCUUAAUCUAUUACAUUCUUCGUACACUGUGCUACAAUUACAUGCUAUUUUUGUUGCUGCUGUAUUUUCUCUUAUCUUAUGGCUUUAAAGAAAGCCUAUUGCCUUUCGCAUACAUCCCCCUAUCUUUCAUGACCAGUUGCUUUGAAUCAUGCUGCCUUUCGAAAGUAAACACACAAAUCAAAUGGGUACCUCUUACUACAGGAAGAGGGGAGCUAAACUGGCAAAGUCUGUUCGGCGCUGAUUCAUGGUCACAUUUCAUGCGAGUCGGACAACAGUUGUAACUGAACCCUAACUCACCAAGAGCUAGUGCUUCACCAGUGUUGCUAAUGCUAACUGUAUUGUAUAUUUUAUUAUUAUAAUUAUUUCUUUAUUCUGGACACACAAAAAACGUUCCAUAGCACAAUAUAAAACAUAGCAAAAGACAGACAAAUACAAGAUAAAACACAUACAAUAGUCUUGUUGUGAACCUCUACUGUAUACCCUGAGGCUCUGCGAAUCCAAAGAAGUAUUAAUUAGUGCAGACAGUGUAUUAGCAUCUACUAUCGUUUCUGUCACUAGUUAGGUGCUUCUUGAUAGAGUCCUCCACAGUCAUUUGCAAAUCUUACAAAACAACAGAAUGUACUGUCUCGGUUUCCACAGACGACUGCUGUCUUAAUGCAUGUCAGCGUACUCUGACUAAAAUGUACAGAAAUGGGUUUCUUAGUGAUUCCCAGGCUCUGAGAUGCCAGCCCCUUCCUACAACAUCAACAACCUCUUCUCCAUAGAGUUUCACUCUGGACGGUUCCUCUGCAAUAACUAUGGCACAAUUUCCUGUGGUCCUUAUUGUAAUCUACCCUAGUCUGGGCCCCAUCAUCUCCUCAGAGGAAAGAUAUACACAUGAGAGAAAAGAGCGAUGUGUCUGGAUGAACAAGCAAUGUCCAGGACUGUAUGGAGGGCUAUAGAGAGGCAGGGGCUGGCCUCGCACGUCAGCCACAAGUACGGAAUCUUUAAGUACGGAAUCUUUAAAGAAGUUCAAUCGGAGCGAAAGGAGAACAGGGCGAUCAAAGGAAUGGUGCACCUGAGUGAAUUGCAUCAUGGGUCAGCGAGGCGAUGUCAUGAAGGCUGACCGUCAGCCUUCAUGGGUUUAGAGUACAUGCCCCUGGUUUGGUGCCAACUCAGAUUCUUGCAGAUGUGUCUUUGUUCUUAAUUGAUAUCACAAUGAGGCAUAUGUCUUGGUUUCAUUAAGUCACAAACUCUGUGACUUUGGAAAGACCUGGCACAGAUGGCACAUGGCUGUGAUGGCUUUAUCAGGACUCCUUCAUUCUUUAUGAACUAUUAAACAGUAGAGUUGGAAGGUGUAGCACAUACAUAUUUUAGAUUAGUCGUGACUGUUUUAACCUAAAGUAACUGUUCUACCGUAGAUAUAUCUUAGGUGUUUCCUGGUGAGAUUUUCUCCGAACAUAAUUCAAUUACCCAGCCAGACCUUAUAGUGUUUUAGGUACAGAAUAUAACUGUUUGCCUAUGUGUUGCAUAAGUCUAUUGGUGUUUUUUCCCAUGAUUGAAGCCAGACAGUUGUUUCCUUGUAGUCUAAGCCAAUAAGAGACAGUCUGGAUCAAUGGACUGAGAGAGAGAGAGAAAGACAGGCAGAAGCAGACCAGUGGCUCCAAGUCAUGCGGAGGAAUAGAGUGGAAUUUGGCCAAAGCAAGAUACAUAAGUUGGACUUACUGCCUGUUUCAAUACGUUCCACUAGGUUUCUGUUUAGACUGCCCAUUCAAGGUGGAUGAUCAUUUAAAUGACAGAAGGUUUUUUGGGCAAGGUGCUAAUAAUGUUGAGUGGAUGGGAGGUGCAUCGGUCAAGAAGUGUGUCAUGGUCAUACCUCAAGCUUUUUGGUCCCAAUGAUGAAGACCAGAGGGAGCUGCUGUAGGUAAAGGUCACUCAAAUAUAACAAAUGACCAUGAACCUCAAACAAUUUAUCUUCAUCACUUAACCAACCGUUCUCCCCAAAAAACAGUCAAAAAGUUUGUUUUGAGAGACAAAAAACGACUUCAUAUUCAGACUUUUUAUUUAUAAGAUGUGUAAAUUAUAUACUUUUACUUUUUUUUCUGUGCAAUGUUUAUUAUCUCUCUGUUUCUUGUAAUGUGUGCAAAUGCAAACCAUGAUUUUGUUCACUUGCUCAAUAAAAUCUUUCAAAAUGAA